rnacentral:tRNA from 1 species
GGGGGUGUAGCUCAGCUGGGAGAGCGCUUGGGUAGUAAUAUUCAAGAGGCAGAAGUUCAAACCUUUUCACCUCCACCA